UACGGGGGGAGCAAGCGUUGUUCGGAUUUACUGGGCGUAAAGAGCGUGUAGGCGGCCCGGUAAGUCCGCUGUGAAAGUCCAGGGCUCAACCCUGGGAUGCCGGUGGAUACUGUCGGGCUCGAGUCCGGAAGAGGAGUGUGGAAUUCCUGGUGUAGCGGUGAAAUGCGCAGAUAUCGGGAGGAACACCAGUAGCGAAGGCGGCACUCUGGGCCGGAACUGACGCUGAGGAGCGAAAGCGUGGGUAGCAAACAGG
rnacentral:rRNA from 1 species